UUAGAUGAUAGUAUAAUUUUUAGAGGAACUGAAAUUUAAAAAAUGUAUAUGGUUUUUUCAUCAAGUAAUGUAACGAUUAUUUUUAUGACUGUAAUCGUUAUUUUCUGCAGUGAUUAUUCGAAUGGAUCAAGUUGUACAGAUGAGCUGGUAACUUUAGAAUUCAAUAUAAAAUUAUCUGGAUUUGAAAAUUUAUCCAAAAUCAAUG